AAUAUCUUAAUUUGUGUUCCGAAGAUUAACGAAGGUCUUACGGGUGUGGAACGGCAUGAGGUGCAGUGCAGUCCAGUCGCGCUCUCCUAUUAUAGAUGACCCUUAUUGGAAUGAAACUGUGUUGUGUCCAUCACACAUGUGGCCUGCGGUGGAUGCUGGGAAAAGCAUGUGCGGACGACCAGAUUUUGACAGCAAACCACCAGUCAACCUUACAGGCAGACUUUGUGAGCAGAGCAAGCGUGCAAACGGACCGUGAGUGCUGGAACACACAUCUGAUGGAGGCAGGAGGCCGUAGGACAUUAUCAGCAAGAUAAUAUUGUCAGCGGCUGAUGUAAAUUGCAGGGCGACAUAGUCAACAGACAUGGCUGAGUGGCUGCAGUGUGUCGAGGCCGUGACACUGACAAAUGGAAUAUUUUUGGAGGGCUUAAUCGCUGGAAAUGGGGUUCUGUCUGAUGGUGACAUGCACACCCCCGCUCCAAUGGCCGCAAAAAAGAAAACUGAUUGUCUGGGCCGCUCACUCAAUCUCACCUCCUUCAACCUUGCACCUCCUCCCUUUCCAAACACACACACACACACACACACACACACAGAUAACAAUUGGUUUUUCCCUCGCUGUAAACAGAAGGAGGCCUGAAAUGCAAAACCACAUUCAUUUGAUUCAUUAAAUAGGGAAAUUAAGAAGCUGCUCUGUUUAUUCAUUCCAUUCCAGAGGAAAAUUGUAUUGCUCAGAGAUGGCCUUUUCAUAGCUCGGGGCACUUAAUGGAGUGAAAAUUAACCAUUUUCUCUUAAAAUCAAUGAUUUUUAAUAUAAAAUAAAUAAAAUGUGAAAUGGUAAAAUACUUAAGUUUUCUCAUGAGAUCAGGGGUGUGUUUCCCAAAAGCAUCGUUAGCCAACUAACAUCAUCGCAAGUUCCGAGGUUACUAACAUAGUUCAGCGAUUUCGUGUUUCCCAAAACCAUAGUUCAAAUGAACAUUUGCAAACAGCAUCGCAAACUUGUGUUUUCUCUCGAGCUGUGGUUAGAAGCAUAGUUUCUUAUUUUUAUGACAUGUGGACUUAAUAAAUCGUUAUCUUGAGCAAAAUAAGCAAGCUGACAUUAAGUACAAUGUAUAUCUUUUAUUUAUAUACUGUAUGCAAAUGUCAUUUACAUAUUUUAGUUUAAGAGAUUUUAAGCACCAUUUUUGUCAUGCUCUAGUAGGCCUAAGAAUGAGCUUAUGAUUGAAUCUGGAAAUGAAGCAAAAUAACUGAGAAAAAUGAGAAUUAGUCCUCAGAUGCCAUGUCUGUAAUUUAUAGCAAAAUAUCUAGCAUUAAUUCGAUCUCAAACUGAUUAAUUUAAAGAAGUUAUUACUCCACCACCUGUGUGACAUCAUUCACCAACGUGGCUGAACGACAUGUUUGCGACAAUACGGUUUCGGGAAACAGUCGUGACUAGCUAGUUGAUUUGUUCAACGAUGCAUCGUACUAGUGAAGCAGCGAGUUACGUUGUACUGGAAAUGCACCCCUGGUUGGUUUGACUGCAAUCCCACAUUAAUUUGUUAUGAUUUUUCAUUAAAAUUACUGCAGUAACUAACUUAUAAUUUUUAUAAGGGAUGCUCGAAGUCAAAUUUGCUCUCAAAUUAGAGAGUUUAUUUCUUUAUCUCAAGAGAACAGAGCUGAUUAAGAGAAUUUAGAAUUGUUUUUUUUUUUUUGUUUUUUUAUUAUGAAAUGGGUAAACUCUGGUCCACACUCCCAUACAGUAGGUGGCGAUAAUGUACCUUAACGUUGGUGCCACCUGCCAUAAAAAGAAAGAAAUUUACUUAAUGAGUACGCUAGUUUUCCAAAUCUAUUCAAUGACUAUUCACAAUCUCUCAGUUCAGUGUUUUAACAACAAUGUUUGAGUGUAAUUAUUUGAUCAAGGUAUAACAUGCAUUUUGGAAGCUCCGGCUUCACUUUAUUUUCAUGUUCAAACAUGUUUUUCAUGUUGAAGAGUACAUCUCACAGUGGUGUGCUGAGCAACUGUCACUUGUGCCAGAUUUGGGACAUCUUCAGGAUGAGGUAAUGCACUUUAAAACUAUUUAAAACUAGAUAUGGGAUUGUUCAAAUGAAAACUGAGAUGAACCCUUUAAGCCCUGAAUGCAUUUUUAGAGUUGUUUUUUUCUGAGUGACACAAAAGUAAAGACUCAUAACUCCAAAACUUUAGCAAAGAGAGUCAAAAGGUAGGUAUCACCUGAAAAUGUAUUACAUUUGAACAUUCUCAUGCUGAGAAUAUUUUUUUUUUUUCAUAUCUUUCUUAUUUGACAUGCAAUAACUAAAGGUAAUAAGGUAGGAGGACCAUUCUUUUUUUGGUGAAGUUCCCCUACAUGUGAGCUGCAUCUGGUUCAAAUUUUGUGGUGAUAGCAUAAAGUAAUCAUAAGUUACAGCAUUUUGUUUAGCUCUUGACGCCUUGACCUCUGGCAGUACACUUUGGGCUUAAAGGGUUAAUCAGAAAAUCAAUAUUUUUACUCAGUCCUACUAUAUUUCUGCAUCAAACAAAUGGAAUAUUUUGCCUAGAAUAAUGAGUAUAUUUAUUAUUUAACAUUGGCUGAAAUGCUACUCAUAAUGCGUUUCACCAACUUUGUUCAUAAAUCUUGCGAUGUGAAGUUAUGGCUAGCAAGCGCUUUUGUGCUUUAUUCUUCAGAGCACUAUAACCACGAGCUGAAAAUGAACACUUUUCAUCUCAAUGAUGUCUGUGAUUAGAAAAGUUGGGAUUUUAUGGUCUUAUAGUUUCUUGUAAUGAUUUUGAUAAUAAUAGCUUGUGGCCUUGUGGAGUGAAUGUCGGUGUCUGGGGCCGAAAUAAACCUCUCAGGUUGAGAAACAGGAGCUAUGCUUUAU